rnacentral:lncRNA from 1 species
CCCGGCCCAAAAUCAUGGUGUCGAUGGACCCAUCAUGCUCCUGUCCAAGCACUGCAGGUUUUCAGCGUCACAGCUGGAUAAGAUUUACAGGACACAGGCAAGUACGGCUCAUGCACUGAGCUCUGUCACCAUGCUUCAGAUGAAUCAGGCUAUGUGUCUGGCGGAACUCGGCUCACGUAUGUCUCCUGACAGUCCGCUUUCUCCUCUCCUCUACGAAAUUAGAGUCGCCACCGAUUACAUUCUCUAUGUGUCCCACUGUGCAGCACUCUCUCUAGGUAGAGGCAUGGCUUCCACGGUGGUGGCGCAGAGGCACCUGUGGCUUACUCUCUCCGAUGUUACGGAGAGGAACAGAACGGUCUAUCUAAACGAGCCUGUGUCGGGCCAGCGGCUUAUUUGGGCAGUCCCUCGAUGACAUUCAGGCUAAGUUUAAGCUGAGGAAGAAACAAACCAAAGCUUUGAGCAGCAUCAUCCCCAGGCGUGAUGCGAGGCCCAAACAGCAGGAUUAUCUGCACAAACCGGCACUGGCGCCUCCUCCCAAGAGGACUGUGGCGCCCGCUAGUUCGGGGCCCCAAACGGUGAAGCAGCACGUACCCGGUCAGAACUGGGCUCAGCGCCCAGAAAAAAAGACACAGCAGUCAUUCCAGCUUCAGGCCCAGCAGCACGGAGACACUGCAGCCCUUCGUUUUUUUGCCGCCAAAAGGCCGCGUUUAAAGUUCGUUCAGGGGUCUCCCAAGCACAACCCUCCCUAACACACACAUGCCCCAAUAAUUGCGCCUGAUGUUCACUGUGUGAAUGUUACAAAUGUGCGUUCGUCGAGUCAAAUAAAGGUUUCGUUUUGUUCUCAAAACAUCAUAAGUCAAUCAAGUCUGGGUGGGAAAGUGUUGCUGUUCCCAGCCGGCAUGCCAAAGGGCGACGACCCCUCCCCCACAGUGAUGGAGGUCAGUCAACUGACUGUCCAUCUCCAUGGGUGGUGCGCAUGCACAGUCUUACUGUGGGUACAGAGAACCGUUGCCAUGGGCUACCGCUUACAGUUCAGGGCCUGGCCGCCUUGCUUCCACUCUGUAAUACACACAGUUGUAGCAGAAGAAGCAGCAGCAGUGAGGGAAGAAAUAAACAACUUGUUGAACAAGAGAGCAAUACGAGUUGUUCCUGCUUCAGAAACGAACAAAGGUUGGUACAGCCGCUAUUUCGUCAUUCCGAAAAAAAGGAGGAGGGCUCCGUCCUAUCAUAGACUAGCGAGUGUUAAACAAAUACCUACAGGUUCAAGAUGCUAACACUCAGACAGCUACUGAGCGUGAUCAGACUGGGAGAUUGGCUUACAACUAUCGAUCUGACGGAUGCUUACUUUCACGUAGCAAUUCAUCCGGACCACAGGCACUUUCUAAGGUUUGCAUUCGAGAGCAUAGCCUACAAAUACCUGGUGCUGACAUUUGGCUUAUCACCCACCCCCCGAACAUUCACCAAAUGUGCCGAGGCGGCAUUGGCUCCGCUACGGGAGAAAGGUGUUCGCAUCUUAGCCUAUCUGGACGAUUGGGUGCUAAUUGCGAGCCAACCCAGUUUUCUACAACAGGGAUCUCCGAUAGGGAGGGUGUCUUUUCGCAAGGUUGUGUCCACAGACGAAUUCCUGAGGGGUCGGAGGGCUCUGUGCGAGGGUGCAGCAGUUAGAGGGGUGUGGACGCCAUCACAAUGCAAGCUCCACAUCAAUUAUGUGGAGCUAUUAGCUAGCUUUUAGCUCUGAAGCAUUUUUGUCCCGUUCUGACAGGCCAUCAUGUUCUGAUCAGGAUGGAAAACACAACCAUGGUUUCCUACAUAAACAUGCAGGUUCCCCUGUUAAAACUGUCUCACUCUCUGUUGCUAUGGUGCAGUGUUCAUUUUCUGUCACUCAGAGCCACACAUAUUCCGGGUCACUUAAACCUUGGGCCGGACCUUCUCUCCAGGGGGGGUCCUCUUGUGAGAGAGUGGAGAUUGCAGCCACUAGUGGUGGCUCAGACAUGGGACCUCCUCUCCCAGGCAGGAAGAGAGGUGAUUCACCAGCGCCCGGAACUGUGGCGACUACAUGCCUUUCUGUUGAAAGGUCCAACUCAAUAGCUCAGGGUCUGCCCCCAAAUGUGGUGGCAACAAUCCAGAGUGCAAGGGCAUCAUCUACUAAAAGCCUAUAUGCCUAUAAAUGGCGGGCGUUUGAGCAGUGGUGUAAGGACCGAAAUGUUCUCCCAUUUCAGAGUUCUAUUGUGGAUGUUUAAACAUUCCUUCAGGAGCUGCUGGAUAGGGGUCUCUCUUUCUCAACAAUGGAGGUCUAUAUCAGCAUGCCAUGUUGGCUAUGAUGGUGUGACGCCAGGCGCUCACCCUCUUGCUAUGCGCUUCCUAAAGGGAGUCCGCAGGCUGAGUCCUGUGCUUAAACCAAGCGUCCCCUCAUGGGAUUUAGCGCUGGUGCUUGAGGCUCUUGGUGGACCCCCAUUUGAGCCUAUUGAGUCAGCAGACAUGAAAUUUCUUUCAUACAAAACUGCACUGCUACUUGCUUUGGCGUCUUCAAAGUGAGUGGGUGACCUUCAUGCUUUGUCUGUGCAUCCCUCUUGUACCCAGUUCACUCUGGAUGGAUCUAAGGUUACAUUGCGCCCAAACGCGGCGUAUUUGCCUAAGAUUAUCCCCAUAGCCUACAGCUCUAUGAGUUUUGAACUACUGAGCUUCUGCCCUCCUCCAUUUGCAUCUGAGGAGCAGAGGAGGUUGCAUUCCUUGUGUCCUGUGCAUGCACUACGCACUUACAUAGACCGCACUCAGAGUGUCCGUUUAUGUGACCAGUUGUUUGUCUGUUUUGCUUAUCCAGCCAAAGGCAAGGUACUGGCUAAACAGUGGCUUUCCAACUGGAUUGUGAAGGCUAUCUCCUUAGCAUACGGCAGCAGGGGUCUUCCGUUGCCCCAAGGUGUGAGGACACAUUCAACCAGGGGAAUGGCGGCCUUAUGGGCCUUGUUUAAAGGGGUUUCUGUGAGUGAUAUCUGCACUGUGGCCAGUUGAUCAUCACUGCACACUUUUGUUCGGUUUUAUCAUUUGGAUGUGACAGCCCCUUCAGCGGCUCAUUCUGUCCUAUCUGCUGGGUCUACAAUGCACCAAAGUUUAAAUCGACUGAAAGGGAACGAAAUAUUAUGAAUAUAACUUCCGUUCCCUGAAGGAGAGGAACGAGGUACAACACUGGGUUGCCUGACUGCACAGCUAGGCUCGGUGAAGAGCGGCUAUCCAACUGAGGUAUGACUGUGGUGUUACACGUAUAUAUGUGCAGGCGAAGUCUCCCAGACGUCACCACGAAUCAUCUGCCACAAAGGCGUGAAUAAAGGUGUCUUCAGUCAGGCCAUGCAAGGGCGUGAUAUCCCAUACUAUAUGUGUUGUGCCUCGUUCCUCUCCUUCAGGGAACAGAAGUUAUAUUCAUGACAUUUCAUUUCUGCUCAUACACUGAUCACCCAAUCUGCUUCCAAGCAGUUUCAAAGGUAGAGGAGACCUGAACAAAGAAAAAAUUGUGAAUAAAAGGGCAUGACCAUGAUGAGCCCUUAAAACUGUGGUGUUCAUGUAUUCAUUACACAGGAAGUAGUUUUUUCCUCAGCUAUGCAUACACAAAUCUGACCCAAACUGGCCAUGCAUGGUAAGGGUCUGGACACAGCCAAAAGCCUUCUGAAAAACUAUCAUCUCACACCUGCUCACAUUUGAAGACACGAAUUUAGAGUUUUUAGUUGCAGCCUAGUGUCAGACUCCUCCUCCUGACUGGUAAGCAUGCGGAUUGCUUCAUUCCCUUCCUUGCUGUUGAACUGUGUCUAGUGUUUUGUUCCUCCUGAUAGCGUUCUUGCUGUUUGGGUUAUUUUCUCUCUUUAAUCUAUCAAAACAUCUGUUUGUUUAAAAGUCUGUAAGUAUUUCUGAUAGUUUUCACCAAGCACAGUCUUUAUCUCCAUUCCGGGUGAUCUCUCUGGUAGUUUACUGUACUAGCUCUUAGCUUCUCUUAGCUUAGCUUCUCUUAGCUUCACUUGCUAACGAUGGCUUCCCCCCGGUCUCCUGCUUCUCCUGCUUGCUUCUGCUCAGUGUGUCAGAUGUUUAGUUACUCCUCGUCCUCCUUAGACGAUAACGAUACCUGCUUGAAGUGUAAUUUAUUCUUAGCUCUGGAGGUGAGGAUUACAGAGUUAGAAAAGCGGCUCCGCACCAAUGCUAGAGUAGCGGUAGCCAGCCAGGACACGGUAGCCGGUGCAGGGCAGCCUAGCUUAGCUUUCCCCCCCAACCGAUCCCAAGCAGCCAGGAUGUAGUAGUGGCUUGGUCACUGUGAAAGAGAAGCAUAGCAGCAGGCCUAAGAAGCCCACGUUAGACCACCAUAUUCACAUUUCAAACAAAUUUACCCCGCUCAGCAACACACCUGCUGAGCCCGACACUCUUGUGAUUGGAGACUCUGUAGUCCGAAAUGUGAAAUUAGCGAAGUCAGCGGCCAUAGUUCAGUGUCUUUCAAGGGGCCAGAGCGGGCGACAUCAAAGGUAGUUUAAACUGCUGGCAAAGGCUAAAUGUCUGAAAUCUGGUUGAUUUUAUUAGUCUGAACCACUGACAAUUCAAAGCAGAGAUCAGGGAGCAGGGCCGCAGUCCUACACGCCCCCCCUGCGCCUCCUUUAGAGCAGCUUCCCAGCCACUACCACUUAUAUACAGAGACAAGGGAGCAGAGCUGCAGUGUAAAACGCCCCUCUGUACUCCCUUCAGAGCAGCUUCCUAGCUACAAUCAGUUUGAUAUAGAGAUCAGGGAGCAUAGCCGCAGUUCUACACGUUCCUCUGCACUUUUGUUAGAGCAGCCUCCGAGCUACUGUCACUUUAAUAUAGAGACUGUGUCUGUCCCUCGUCCUCGGCUCUUUAUUUCUAUCUGAUCGAUUAACAAAGGAGUAAAUAACAAGAACCUUACUAGAAUUAAAACUGCUAACAUAGCUGAACCGAGUAGUUGUAAGAUAAAAUGUGGUCGACUGAACAUAAGGUCUCUAAGUUCCAAAUCUGUGUUAAUAAAUGAACUAACCUCUGAUCAUCGCAUUGAUUUACUCUCCCUAACCGAAACUUGGCUGCAUCAGGAUAAAUAUGUCAGCUUGAAUGAAUCCACUCCUCCUAGCCACCUAAGCUUUCACAUUCCUCGGGACUCUGGCCGAGGUGGUCGAGUUGCAGCUAUUUACAAUUCCAGUCUUGGAAUUAACCCAAGACCAAAACUAGAUUAUAACUCUUUUGAAAGUCUUGUUGUCAGUCUUCCGCAUCCAGCCUCAAAGACCAUGAGACCAGUGGUGUUUGCUAUAGUUUAUCGCCCUCCCAGCCCAUACUCUGAGUUUUUGUCAGAAUUCUCAGAGUUUCUAUCUGAUCUAGUCCUUCUUGCAGACAAAGUCAUUGUUGUUGGUGACUUUAAUAUUCAUGUGGAUGUGGAAAAUGAUAGCCUAAGCAUUUUUUUUCUUGUCCUUGCUAGACUCAGUUGGGUUUACAUAGUGUGUACAUGGACCUACGCACUGCUUUAAUCCUUGACUCAGUUGCUCCUCU